rnacentral:rRNA from 1 species
ACAUACGACCACAGGGUGUGGAGAAUAGGGCUUCCCGUCCGCUCAGCCGUACUUAAGCCACACAUGCCAGCGGUUAGUAGUUGGGUGCCAGUAAAUCCCUGCUGUUGUAUGUU